rnacentral:rRNA from 1 species
GCGCAGCAGUCGCGAAUAGUCUACAAUGGACGAAAGUCUGAUAGUGCGACGCCGUGUGUGCGAUUAAUUCCUUCGGGAUGUAAAGCACUUUUCUAUGAGAUAAAAGCUCUUUAGGUUAAUAGCUUAUUGAGACGGAUAUUAUUAUAGGAAUAAGCUCCGGCUAACUCCGUGCCAGCAGCCGCGGUAAUACGGAAGGAGCGAGCGUUGUCCGGAUCUACUAGGCGUAAAGGGCUAGUAGGCGACUAAUUAAGUUAUAUGUUAAAUCCCACGGCUCAACUGUGGUCCUGCAUGUAAUACUGGUUAGAUAGAGUACUGUAGAGGAAGGCAGAAUUCCUGGAGUAGCGGUGGAAUGCGCAGAUAUCAGGAAGAAUACCAAAAGCGAAGGCAGCCUUCUGGGCAGUUACUGACGCUGAAUAGCGAAGGUGUGGGUAGCGAACAGGAUUAGAUA